rnacentral:rRNA from 1 species
UGCCAGACUCCUACGGGAGGCAGCAGUGGGGAAUAUUGCACAAUGGGGGAAACCCUGAUGCAGCAACGCCGCGUGAGUGAAGAAGUAUUUCGGUAUGUAAAGCUCUAUCAGCAGGGAAGAAAAUGACGGUACCUGAGUAAGAAGCCCCGGCUAACUACGUGCCAGCAGCCGCGGUAAUACGUAGGGGGCAAGCGUUAUCCGGAUUUACUGGGUGUAAAGGGAGCGUAGACGGCGAUACAAGUCUGAAGUGAAAGCCCGGGGCUCAACCCCGGGACUGCUUUGGAAACUGUGUUGCUGGAGUGCUGGAGAGGCAAGCGGAAUUUCUAGUGUAGCGGUGAAAUGCGUAGAUAUUAGGAAGAACACCAGUGGCGAAGGCGGCUUGCUGGACAGUAACUGACGUUGAGGCUCGAAAGCGUGGGGAGCAAACAGGAUUAGAUACCCGAGUAGC